GUGAGGAAUAUUGCGCAAUGGAGGCAACUCUGACGCAGCCAUGCCGCGUGCAGGAAGAAGGCGCUACGCGUUGUAAACUGCUUUUAACCGGGAAGAAACCCCAGGACGUGUCCUGGGUUGACGGUACCGGAGGAAUAAGCACCGGCUAACUUCGUGCCAGCAGCCGCGGUAAUACGAAGGGUGCAAGCGUUAUCCGGAUUCAUUGGGUUUAAAGGGUGCGUAGGCGGAGCGUUAAGUCAGUGGUGAAAUCCUGCAGCUUAACUGUAGACUUGCCAUUGAUACUGGCGCUCUUGAGUGCGCUUGAAGUGGGCGGAAUGUGCCGUGUAGCGGUGAAAUGCUUAGAUAUGGCACAGAACACCAAUUGCGAAGGCAGCUCACUAAGGCGAUACUGACGCUGAGGCACGAAAGCGUAGGGAUCGAACAGGAUUAGAAACCCGUGUAGUCC
rnacentral:rRNA from 1 species